GAGUCGCUAGCUCAGGCGGUAGAGCAACGGACUUUUAAUCCGUAGGUCCCGGGUUCGAGUCCCGGGCGACUCACCA
rnacentral:tRNA from 1 species